rnacentral:lncRNA from 1 species
CGCCGUCUCCUCGAUGCGGCCGCGCCUCCUUCGAUUAUUUGCUGCCCCGUAGAGCGGGGAGACCACGGUUGACUUCCUGCCUGCCCCGCUGUGCGUUUUAAACGAUCCUUGACCACCGACCCCUUUCCCAUUUAACCACUGCACCCUUUCUCCGGCCUCUCAGACUGUGCGUCUCUUGCUUCGUCGCAGUUUGACGUCGCGGAUAUCUUGCGCGCCGUUCCUGCAGCUGAUACCUUCGGCCGUGCACGGCGGCGCCCCCGUGGAAGCAGCAAGAAGCCGGGGGUCCGGGCUCGAGCGCGAGCACACCCUCGACGAGGAGCAGUGGACCGGCGUCGCUGGCCCGGCUGAUCAAGUGGACAGAGAGAAACACGCCGGGGAGGACAAAAAAAUAGCGCGGCCGGGUUCUCCGCGGGCCCAAUUAGAGAAGACAAACUGCCGCGGCGGACUCGGACAAGAAAGCCAGCAGAAGGGGGGACUCUUGUGCUCGCCUCCGCUCGUCCGCCCUGAGUGACAAAGGGCGUUGCCUGUGCCGGGCUAGGCGCGGGGGCGCGCUGCUACUGAUUGGACUGCCUUCGUAGGGAAGACACACGCUGCUCUCUCUCUCCCUCUCUUUCCCUGUACAACUCCCCCUCCCCCCUUUUCCAGUGCCAUUCAAUACGCUUCUUCUGCUCCCUUAAUCAAAUCGAAUCAAAGUCACGAAACCGGGAGACAUGGGAUGGUGGUAGUAAGGGGAGAGAUGAGUGAGGUUGGAACAAAAGGGGAGAGAAUAGCCGAGGAGGGGAGGGGAUUCGUCGGCACAGGACAGCGGCCACCACCGCGGCUGCUACAAGCGGCUGCAGGGAGACGGCCUCUCAUCAAGGCGGCGGGAGCAGCGCAAGUUGAGCUCUAGUGUUCUACAUCUACCCUGUAGAUCCGAAUUUGUUUGCCACUAGACUACAAAUUCGGUUCUAGAGAGGUUUGUGUGGUACAUACGAAACGUCACACUGCAAAGCAUACCUUCCGUUUCUUCGACGACCAUGGGCAAUGUGUGUGUGCACGUGUGUGUGUGUGUGUUUGCCAGGCGCGGGAAUGUAGAUCGUGCGCAUACGACACGCAUGCGGGUGCCGACCUUGUCCCUGUCUCGAUGAGAAGGCCCCUUAAUGAGUGCGAGCGUCUCGAUGGUGUUGGUUAAAAAAAGAGAGUUGUAACAUAUUUUUUUUUUUUCUGUUUCAUAUUGCUUUUUUGCUUCCAUCAUUCCCCUUGGGGAACAAGCAGCGGAAAUAAAGAAACUGUGUUUGCCUGC